GACGAACGCUGGCGGCGUGCUUAACACAUGCAAGUCGAACGGAAAGGCCCUGCUUUUGUGGGGUGCUCGAGUGGCGAACGGGUGAGUAACACGUGAGUAACCUGCCCUUGACUUUGGGAUAACUUCAGGAAACUGGGGCUAAUACCGGAUAGGAGCUCCUGCUGCAUGGUGGGGGUUGGACCGUUUCGGCGGUUGGGGAUGGCCUCGCGGCUUAUCAGCUUGUUGGUGGGGUAGUGGCUUACCAAGGCUUUGACGGGUAGCCGGCCUGAGAGGGUGACCGGCCACAUUGGGACUGAGAUACGGCCCAGACUCCUACGGGAGGCAGCAGUGGGGAAUAUUGCACAAUGGGCGGAAGCCUGAUGCAGCAACGCCGCGUGCGGGAUGACGGCCUUCGGGUUGUAAACCGCUUUCGCCUGUGACGAAGCGUGAGUGACGGUAAUGGGUAAAGAAGCACCGGCUAACUACGUG
rnacentral:rRNA from 1 species